UGGAGCGGUGUCCGAGCGGUUUAAGGAGGCGGUCUUGAAAACCGUUGUGCCGAAAGGUACCGGGGGUUCGAAUCCCCCCUGCUCCGU
rnacentral:tRNA from 1 species